ACUAUUAUGGAGAUGGGGAGGAGUGUACAGCAGUGGCAGCAAUAACAACCCAUGGAAGUAUCAUCAACACACCACUGAAAAGAAAUGGACACAAUCGGGUACUCGUUAAAAAAUGAUUAUUAGUACGCAUUUUCUGGCAAUUUAGAUUAGAAUAACUUCAUUUUUCUCAUGGGGGAACGUCUUAAAUCAAACCAUUCAAACAACACAAACACCAAAAGACAGAGCUGAACAUUUGGAGAAGCCAUGGAGAAGACAACAAUGUAGUGAGCAACAUCUGCCCUCAGCUCCUCUGAGAAGCGAUGCAUUAGCUGGAAUGGUCUAGCUGCUGGUGGCUCAUCUGGAGAUGGUGGGGAGCUGGGAUUGGUGCGCUGGCUUUAGGGAAAUCAGCCACUGUUCUCUCUCUGCGUCCCAAGCUUUGGCCAUUAACUCACUGCCAGCAGCUCAGCUCUGGGAUGAGGAACAACAGAUGCCAGCCACUGAAAAGCCUCCAGCGCUCCAGCUAACCAAUCCCAACUGAGUCGGGACGAGCCUCUGUAGAUUUUUGGACAUCCAGCGAACAAAUGUGGACAUGAAAGGGGGAAGAGGAGGGCUGUUCUGGAGGUAAAGAUGUGUUAACCCUCUUGAACUUGACAGGAGACGAGGCUGGAGCUCAGAUUAGCCCCUCAAAGCCCAGCUUUCACAAAAGUGGUCCAGAGUGGCAAGGAGACACCAGAUUAGGGAUGAGCCAAUCCCUGCUAUCCUCAACUGCCACAUCUUCCUGCUAGGCUACCCAAACAAGCACAAGGAGAAGAGGAGAAGUAAGGGAGUUGGGUCAAAUGGUAGCUGGGUGAACAAGCCGUGGAUCGAGUGACUGGGGUCCUUGAGGAUCUUCUUGGCCUUCCUGUGACACCGGCUGCUGUAGAUGUCCUGGAGGGCAGGCAGUGUGCCCCUGGUGAUGCGUUGGGUCUUUCUUCAGCCUCCUGUUGCGCCUUCUUCAGCACACUGUCUGUGUGGACCAUUUCAGGUCUAAUGUAUGCCUAACAGGAGCAGGUAAAUAACAUAUUUUCAGCCAUGCUGUUCCUCUCACUGUGGGCCAAUGGCUGAUCACUUCAGCAGACAAUUUAAGGUCGACUUAAUGUAGCCUACACGGCCUCUCGGGGAAUUUCAUGCUCUUAUGGAAAGCCGUUUGAAAUCCCUGAGCAGCCUAGUCUUAAUCUCAUUUGUGAAUGUGAGAGAAGCCCCGACAGGACCAGGGACUAGCAGGAACAUCCUCCUCCUAAAGCACCGUUUCAUUUGUCAGGAGACUUUGCCGGUUGACACUGGAGGAGUGACGUAAUUGAUUUUAAUCACACACCUGAGAUGAGGAGAAUGAGGGGGCUGGCCCUUAAUGAUUAUUCAAAGACCCGUCAAAGAUCAUGUCUCUCUUUUUAAGGUCUCUGUUUUCAUGUAUUGCUGUCUUGAAGGAUGAUAUUUGCAUUAUUCAUUUUGAAACAUGUUCCAUUGUUAUUUCAUUACUGGAAUCAAACUGUGUCACACAAGAAAAACAAGUAUUAUGAAUUAUCCUCCUAAUACUGAUAAGCAAAAUAUAGAUUUUCCCUUUUCAAAUGGUGCUUCAGGGCUCUUGACAAAGAGGACUUUUCUCCAGUUGACUGUCUACUCAAUGUUAAGCUGACACACACUGUGAAAAUGUUCCAAAGGCGAUGCUCGACUUUGUACUGCUUAAAGACAUACUUUUCCCUCUUGACUCUUCAGGAAGUCUGAGUAUUCUCCCUCCCCUCAGAGUACCACGGUAAUUUGUUAUGAAAAUCUAGACCAAAAGCAAGGGAAAGCAGGACCACGUUGUUGCAAGCCAUUAGCUAGGAAACUGUUUGGUGAACAUUAUAAUGCAAAACUCCAGAAAAAGAGAGAAAAACUGCCUGGGGAGAGAGAUUUAAAUAUGUAAUAAACUAAUAUUUCAUUUAUUUGGCUCACAUGGGAACCUGACCAUUUAGCAUCAGCAUUUGCAGAUCAGAACUACACCGUAAUGAGUAAUACUAGAAAAUGCAAUACAAUUUUAAAAAUAUUCAAUUUAUUAUGGGCAACUAAUAAUGUUAAAAAAAUAAAAUCUGAAUGUGAGAUUUGGAACAAUGAUACCUAUAUACUGUAAUUAAGUAUGUACAUCAUUACAAAGACAUUAUUAAGUAGCAUAUCUAUUGUUUUUUAUUACUCUGUUUUCAAGAGUUUGUAGUUGUCCUCAAACCUUCAUUCAAGACAGUUGUCUAUCCUUCAGUUUGCAUUGUUAAAAUAACUUGUGAAAGUAUGUAUUUCAUUUGUUGAUUUUCCCCAUUGUUAUUGCUUUACGUAGAAUACAAUGGCAUUAAUUCUUGAUGAGGCUGCUGUCACUUUUAAUUUCUGUUAGUCCUGGGAAGAUGAUAGACAGCCAGCCUUGUAAUAAAUAUAACAUGCCCUGCAUACAUUUUUUACCGAAAAAAAAAAGGAAACGUCCCUUUACUAAUUCCUUUUCAUAUGUUUACAUGUAUAGCUUUCUCAAUGGGCAUAUCUAUUUCAAACUUUGGGCCACAACAGAAAUAUAUUUCCAUCUCAUUAAUGAGCAAAUUAGGGAAAGGUCUUUCAAGAAAAAAAUAAGAAUUGCACAACCAUAAUCUCCAUACUAAAGGACCAGUCUUUGAUGAAUCGCUCGGGGUGUGUGUGUGUGUGUGUGUGUGUGUGUGUGUGUGUGUGUGUGUGUGUGUGUGUGUGUGUGUGUGUGUGUGUGUGUGUGUGUGUGUGUGUGUGUGUGUGUGUGUGUGUGUGUGUGUGUGUACGUGUAUGUUUCGUUCACUUCGCCCAUUCCCUAUACAGUAUACAAUAAUUACUGAUGACUCUCAGGACUGAAGUCUGAAAUCCUUCCACCCAUAUGAUCAAAUGUCAGGUUCACAUGAUAGACACAGCGCUUGCAUUGCCUAACCAUCUAAUACCAUUAUAGUAGUUUGACUCAUGUUAAAGGUUAAGCAAUCUAAUGCCUUUUUAGGUCUUUUAGAUUGAUGACAGGUUUUAGAUUGACUGCAGGUCUCAUACUUUAUGUUGUUAGCGUUAUGUCGUUGUAUACUGGAUUAAAGAGGAAUCAUAUCAAAAGAUAUUAAAAGACAGUUGAGUAACACCUUGACAACUCUUUUACCAACAAUUUAUGUGGUGUAUCAGGAGAUGAUCCUUGGUACAUCAGAUUUAAUUGUUGAAUUGGUCCCUAUAUAUGAUGAAAAAAAUACAUGUUUGGAUAUGCUCAAAAGAAAUCCUUUCUCAAAGGAAGCGCAUCCUCAAAGAAGUCUGGGGAAUCUGGAAUUCUUUUUAAUGUCUGGAUAUCCAGAGAAGCUAUGAGCUACAUGUCCUUAUAGCCACCUCACCAUGCUAACAAAUGACCUGGAUCAGCGUUAGCCAUUGACUAAUGCUAGCAUUAUAGAGGCAUAAUUAUUGGACUAUAUUGGGCUAUACUGUAGAUUGUAUUAGCAGGUCUCGGUUAACAGUUUUGUGCACUGGUGAAGGCUCAACAUGUUACUCUAACCAGUUCGGCAACAUACUGUAACUGGGUGGGUCACUCGAGUCAAGUCUAUAAAAUCUGAAUGGUUUAUUUUAGUAUGAUGAUCUGUGGAUUAGCGGAUCCAGAUUUCCACUAGUGCCCAUGGAGUCAGAUUGUGAUACUUACAGUAUAUCCUGGGAUCAUUAAGGAAUUAAUAAGACAGACAGAGACGUUAGCUGCUGCAGUAACAUGACAGUAGGCAUCAUUUAAUGAUGUAAUGAGUGUGACAAAAACUAGAACAAGCCGAUCCCCUCUUACAGCAAAUGUCAUUCAUAUUUUAGCCAAAUUGCAUUAUUACUGUAUGUCUGCUUCCCGGCUUCAAAAUUAAAUCCCAAGAUUUACGCUCAUCUUUAAAGACAAAAAUCAUUAGAAUUCUAACGACGUCAGACAUUGUCAGGAGAGAGAGAGGAAGGGGAAAGAAUCUAGAGAUAUUUCUUUUUCUUGUGGGCUUUUUUUAAUGAGCUGAAAUCCCCAUGUCUUGCCAUUUCCUCUGCCUUAAUUGAUGAUUAUCACGUUACACUGUAGAAGCGCUUCACUCUCUCCUCCCAGUCAUUAUGCUAUAGACAGGGAGCUCUUGAAGCUUCAAAGGCAGGAUACAGUGUUUUAAGAUGAAUUCAGCCAUCCUUUGGCCCACAGGUAAACCCCCUGUAAACAGUGCAUGCUAACCGCUAAUUAGCCCUCAGGCCGAAUCAGGCUAGCUCUGUAUGAGCUGACCGCUGUGAUGGUCCUGCUUAGGGCAAUAUUGUAUCUCUACUAACGGCCCUAUUAGACAUUCAACUGUAGACCCAUAAGGCAACCCCCUCAUGAAUAUUUUAAAAAGACUGACACCGAAAAGCACGAAAGGGGCCAUGAACUGCAUGUCAUGGAAGGAAUAUAAUGCAAGUAACAACCAAUCAAUAAUCUCUUGAUCUUCUCUGUUUUAGCAUGACGCAUGAAUAUUUUCUCACCUCUGUAAUGCAGGGAGACUGAGGUUGGGGCAAUGGUGGGGCUAAAGUAAUAAGAAGUGGCAUAGUCUUACUCCGGUGAAUUUACAAAUGAUGUCCCAGGUGGGAAUGAUAGUGUAACUGACUCAUACAAGGACUCAGACUAUAAGGUUCAGUUCAGUCUGAAGGACUGGCAGGUCUAUGCUACUGCUAGAGAGUAAUUAGGCUACUGUCCUUCACAAUCUCACGCUACAGUACAGUCGAUCAGACUGAAGGACUGUUUGUGUUCUCACUUCACUAUAGUGCUGUGUGGAUCUCAUCCACUCAGGUCAGGAAGAGAUUAAUAUAUUUCUGUACCUCAUCUGUUUCAACAAAUAAAAUAGGCUUAAUGUGCAGACAAGCCGCAAAAGACGCCAAUAACGGGAUACCAGCUUACAUACUAAACUUAGAUUUUAACACCGCAUUAGUUACAUUAAUUAAUUUAUUCAAGUAACAUAUAGCAUAUGUUUUCAAUAUAGAAGAAAUCAAUUAUGAGGUGCCAUUAACAAUAUAUAAUAAAUGUGCGGCAUACAUGUGUGGUGCUAUAUGCUAAUUCAUAUUUUAUGCUUAACCCUUAUCACCUUAAAUACAUUUUUCAUAUCUAAGAAUAAUGUGAAGCAGCAUGCGAUCUCAUAUAGUUAUGCCAAUGAACAUGAGAAUGUGUGUUUUAACUUACGUGCCCUCACCUAUUCUUUACAUUCCUGUGAAAGAUCAACCUCUUGCAGUGAGCUAUAAAGCUCCCGGGAAUAAUCCAGAGGAAUUCUGACAUUUUUGUGAAAUAUUAUGCCUUAGGCCAUGUCACUAUAUCAGAGGGAGAUUAACAUAAAAAAUACUAUAUAUAUAUAUAUAUUAAGCAUGUUGUUUAGUCUUUUCCUUUUUUGAUUGUUUAUUAAACCCAUUCAUAUUUAGUAUAGCUAGUAUUAAGUCAUCAUCAUUUUAUCAAAAUGUAAUUUAGGGUAGACCUCUACAUUUGGCUUUAGGGAUUGAGGGAGAACAUUGGUUAAUUGAAUGAAAUAUUUAAACAACAAAAAAUCACAAGAAUCAGGUAAGUAGAUUUUGUUUCCAAAAAUAAAAUUAAAAUAUUUUUUCAUCUGAAAGUAUUGCUUAUUGGGCACCUUUAUGUGUUUGUAAAAUAUCCAUUUAGAUAUUUUAUUCAUAGGUUUUAGAUGUUUUUCUUUUUGUGCAAAAUGCUGUACACUGAUAGACCAAACAUUAGGAACAUCUUCCUAAUCUUGAGUAUCACCCCUUUUGCCCACCGAACAGCCUCAAUUUGUCGGGGUAUGGAAUCUACAAGGUGUCGAAAGCAUUCCACAGGAAUGCUGGUCCAUGUUGACUCUAGUGCAUCCCACAGUUGUGUCAAGUUGGCUGGAUGUCCUUUGGGUGGUAGACCAUUCAGGAAAACUGUUGAGCAUGAAAAACCCAGCAGAGUUGCAGUUCUUCACACAAACCAAGGCGCCUUUGUCUUGCCCAUUCACCCUCUAAAUGGUACACAUAUACAAUUCAUGUCUAAAUUGUCUCAAGGCUUAAAAAUCCUUCUUUAACCUGCCUCCUCCCCUUCAUCUACACUGAUUGAAGUCGAUUUAACAAGUGACAUCAAUAAGGGAUCAUAGCUUUCAUCUGAAUUUACUUGAUCAGUCUGUGUCAUGGAAAGAGCAGGUGUACUUAAUGUUUUGUAUACUCAGUGUAUAUCUAUUGUUUAGCUGGAAUGGAAUGUUCGUAUACUUUUUAUUUGUACUGUGAUCUCACCUACCUAUUUUAAGAUGAAUGCACUUACUGUACGUUGCUCUGGAUAAGAGCAUCUACUAAAUGACUAAAAUGUUAAAUGUAAUUGUAUACAGACCUCGGCUGCAGGUAGCCUCGCGGUUAGGAGUGCUGGGCUGAUAACUGAAAGGUCGCUGGUUUGAAUCUCCAAGCUUACUAGGUAAAUGUGUCAAUUUGCCGUUGAGCAAGGCAUGUAACCCUAGUCGCUCUGGAUAAGAGUGUCUGCUAAAAUGUAAAUAUCAUAUUCGUUUAUUUAAUUAUUCUUUUUUUAAUUAAAAAGAUGAAUGUCUCAAAUGUAUCAAAAUGUUCUUAUUAAGAAUGUAUUUAUUUGUUACAUUUGACUGUGUACAUCCCAGCACUAUUACUUAUUUCUCUGAGA